UCCGCAGGGGUGGUUCGUAGAAUUACUGUUGCACUUCUGCACUAUAUAUAAAAAUCUACUGUCUUGUGGCGCCCUCGUAACCUGCUGAUUGUGAAAACGUACAGUGCUGGAUAUCGGGGCUGACUAAGGUACGUGAAGGUUUGGGCAUAUAACUGUCGUAAUUUAACGGUAAAUAAAUCGAAGGUCGUAGAAUACAAAACAAGUUGCCCGCUGUGCAUUGAUCACAGAACAAUUUGCACUAGGAAGAGUCGACGCACUCGUUUUGUGGCGAUACGGUGUACGCAAGUUUGGAGUUCACGGCAUCUGCAACAACAGCUACGAUGGACACAGCGGCGCAUGGGCGAUGACAGGCUUCCAAAGGGGGAAACGUUCGUGAAAGGUAGCGCCGUCCACAAAAAUGAAAGACUGGUGCUGUCGAGCAAGUGGUUCCUGCCGUGCAGCAUUCAUCCGUGCGCAGCUACGCCCGUGCCUGCACGUGCCACCCUGCUGAGCCUUCUCCUGUGCCCAACUGCACCUGCGCUACAUGGCUACCGGAAGAUUGUCAUCGCCUUCGCUAUCGUCGCCUUGUGCGACCUUUAACGCUCUGUUGCUCGCACAUGCUGCUAUUCUACCCUUGGACACCACUACACCUGCGGUAGCUGCAUCAGAGGUUAUAUAAUGGAGCUACCAACGCACCUGGACACUUUUUGAGCAGCGGUCGUAGGAACUGGACGACUGCUAAGAAUCUGUUCUCUCCGCUACAGGUAAUCGGCACCAGCGAAGGCGGGCGGAUGCCUCUACACACCUAGGCAAGACCUCUGCUCAACUGCGUCGUCGUAGCUGCAUUCACGCUACGGCUGUUCGUCGUGAAGCGGAGCUGAAAGCUGUGAAAACCACCCACAUGAGCAACAACACAUACCAUAUAUUCACUUGUACCAUACAGAAAAUUGAAUGACCUAGCUGUUCUACAUAAUUACAAUACCUGUACAGUGGCCCGGAGAGAGUGUCAUGUACCGGGUGUUUCAGCGAACACUUUAAAAAAUGUUUAGAUUGCCUGUGGCAGAUAGCACAAUUCUAGUUCAUGAGCUGGUCAACUCGAAGAGUCGGACAUUACUAGCACAAAAAAAAUGAAAUGCAGAAUCUACUAAUUAACAAAAAUUAACUAAUUAAGUUUUUUAAACUAAUUACUGGCCCAUACUGCAAUUUACAAAUUCUAGCCGUGGAGUUCGCAAGGCGGAUCCACUUGGAACGAAUUCUCAGGAUGAGAUCAGUUUCGCGAUAUCAAUUCCCGAACUUUACAGAGAAAUGCAUUCUCGUUCCAGUUACUUUUGUGCUUCAAUGCAUAAAACGACGUUUAACAAAGUCACUGGUACGCCAACGCAAUUCUUCGCAAAGUUCGGGAAUUAAUACCUCGAAACUGGUCUCAUCCUGAGAAUUCGGUCCAAGUGGAUCCGCCUUGCGAACUCCACGGCUACAAUUUGUAAACUGCAAUAGGGGUCAUAAGGUAAUUAGUUAAAACGUAAUUCGUGCAUUUUUUAAUUUGUCGAUUAUGUAUUUCAAUUUUUUUUUUGUGCGAGUAAUGUCCGCCACUUUGAGUAGACCAGCUCAUGAACUAGAAUUGUGCUAUCUGCCAGAGGCAACCUUUAAACAUUUUUGUGUUUGCUGAAACACCCUGUAUACCACGUGAUACAGUGCUACAUACCAUGCUGCGCAAAUACUGUAGUAUUUGCGCAGCAUGGUAUGUGGAUCGUACACUUGUCCCUCGACAUCGAGAGCGCAUAGUACAAAUUAAGCCGCACUUUCACUAUAACUAAGGACAGUAAGAUGGUCAUUCAGAGCUAAGAAGCACAUCCCUUUUGAUUUCCUUUGUUAUGCCUA